GUCUUUUUGAUUUUUAUAAAAAGUCUAAUCUGCCCAUUGAAAAUAUUUAAAAGGCCGCAGUAUUUUGACUGUGCAAAGGUAGCAUAAUCAAUAGUUUUUUAAUUGAAAGCUGGAAUGAAGGAUUGGAUGAAAUAAAAUCUGUCUUUAUUUAAAUGUAUUAAAAUUUAAUUUUUAUGUUAAAAAGCAUAAAUAUUUUUAAAGGACGAGAAGACCCUUUAAAGCUUUAUAUUUAAAAAUUUAUAGUUAUUAUAUAGAAGAUUAUAUUAAUAUAAGUUUAAAUAUUUUAUUGGGGUGAUAGGAAAAUAAAAUAAACUUUUUUUUAAAAAAAAACAAUAAUUUAUGAAUAAUUGAUCCAUAAUUUAUGAUUAAAAGAAUAAGUUACUUAAGGGAUAACAGCGUAAUAGUUUUUAAGAGAACAUAUCGACAAAAUUGAUUGCGACCUCGAUGUUGGAUUAAGAUUAUUAUUAAAUGUAGAAGUUUAAUUAUUAGGUCUGUUCAACCAUUAGUUCUUA
rnacentral:rRNA from 1 species